UACCAGCACCCCGAGUGGUCGGGACGUUUAUUGGGCCUAAAGCAUCCGUAGCCGGUUCUACAAGUCUUCCGCUAAAUCCAGCUGCUCAACAGAUGGGCCGCGGAGGAUACUACAGAGCUAGGAGGCAGGAGAGGCAAGCGGUACUCAGUGGGUAGGGGUAAAAUCCGUUGAUCCAUUGAAGACCACCAGUGGCGAAGGCGGCUUGCCAGAAUGCGCUCGACGGUGAGGGAUGAAAGCUGGGGGAGCAAACCGG
rnacentral:rRNA from 1 species